GGAAUUUUCCGCAAUGGGCGAAAGCCUGACGGAGCAACGCCGCGUGAGGGAUGAAGGCCUCUGGGCUGUAAACCUCUUUUCUCAAGGAAGAAGAUCUGACGGUACUUGAGGAAUAAGCCAUGGCUAAUUCCGUGCCAGCAGCCGCGGUAAUACGGGAGUGGCAAGCGUUAUCCGGAAUUAUUGGGCGUAAAGCGUCCGCAGGCGGCCCAUCAAGUCUGCUGUUAAAAAGUGGAGCUUAACUCCAUCAUGGCAGUGGAAACUGUUGGGCUAGAGUGUGGUAGGGGCAGAGGGAACUCCCGGUGUAGCGGUGAAAUGCGUAGAUAUCGGGAAGAACACCAGUGGCGAAGGCGCUCUGCUGGGCCAUAACUGACGCUCAUGGACGAAAGCCAGGGGAGCGAAAGGGAUUAGAUACCCCUGUAGUC
rnacentral:rRNA from 1 species